rnacentral:rRNA from 1 species
AGCGAACGCUGGCGGCAUGCUUAACACAUGCAAGUCGCACGGGCGGGGGCAACUCUGUCAGUGGCGGACGGGUGAGUAACGCGUAGGUAUCUAUCCUUGGGUGGGGGACAACGGUUGGAAACGACUGCUAAUACCGCAUGAUAACUGAGGUUUAAAGGCGCAAGUCGCCUGAGGAGGAGCCUGCGUACGAUUAGCUAGUUGGUGGGGUAAAGGCCUACCAAGGCUAUGANCGUUAGCUGGUCUGAGAGGAUGAUCAGCCACAUUGGGACUGAGACACGGCCCAAACUCCUACGGGAGGCAGCAGUGGGGAAUAUUGGACAAUGGGCGAAAGCCUGAUCCAGCAAUGCCGCGUGUGUGAAGAAGGU